rnacentral:rRNA from 1 species
UGGUAGUCCACGCUGUAAACGAUGUCGAUUUGGAGUUUGUUGCCUAGAGUGAUGGGCUCCGAAGCUAACGCGAUAAAUCGACCGCUGGGGAGUACGGCCGCAAGGUUAAAACUCAAAUGAAUUGACGGGGGCCCGCACAAGCGGUGGAGCAUGUGGUUUAAUUCGAUGCAACGCGAAGAACCUUACCUGGUCUUGACAUCCAUAGAAUUCUGCAGAGAUGUGGGAGUGCCUUCGGGAACUAUGAGACAGGUGCUGCAUGGCUGUCGUCAGCUCGUGUUGUGAAAUGUUGGGUUAAGUCCCGCAACGAGCGCAACCCUUAUUCUUUGUUGCCAGCGAUUUGGUCGGGAACUCAAAGGAGACUGCCGUUGAUAAAGCGGAGGAAGGUGGGGACGACGUCAAGUCAUCAUGGCCCUUACGACCAGGGCUACACACGUGCUACAAUGGCGUAUACAAAGGGAAGCGAAGGUGCGAGCUGGAGCGGAUCUCAUAAAGUACGUCUAAGUUCGGAUUGGAGUCUGCAACUCGACUCCAUGAAGUCGGAAUCGCUAGUAAUCGUAGAUCAGAAUGCUACGGUGAAUACGUUCCCGGGCCUUGUACACACCGCCCGUCACACCAUGGGAGUGGGUUGCACCAGAAGUAGAUAGCUUAACCGCGAGGGGGGCGUUUACCACGGUGUGAUUCACGACUGGGGUGAAGUCGUAACAAGGUAACCA